GGGACUGAGGACCCGGGCCCAGGACUCCUACGGGAGGCAGCAGUUGGGGAAUAUUGCACAAUGGGSGAAAGCCUGAUGCAGCGACGCCCGCGUGAGGGAUGACGGCCUUUCGGGUUGUAAACCUCUUUCAGCAGGGAAGAAGCGAAAGUGACGGUACCUGCAGAAGAAGCGCCGGCUAACUACGUGCCAGCAGCCGCGGUAAUACGUAGGGCGCAAGCGUUGUCCGGAAUUAUUGGGCGUAAAGAGCUCGUAGGCGGCUUGUCACGUCGAUUGUGAAAGCCCGAGGCUUAACCUCGGGUCUGCAGUCGAUACGGGCUAGCUAGAGUGUGGUAGGGGAGAUCGGAAUUCCUGGUGUAGCGGUGAAAUGCGCAGAUAUCAGGAGGAACACCGGUGGCGAAGGCGGAUCUCUGGGCCAUUACUGACGCUGAGGAGCGAAAGCGUGGGGAGCGAACAGGAUUAGAUACCCUGGUAGUCCACGCCGUAAACGGUGGGAACUAGGUGUUGGCGACAUCCACGU
rnacentral:rRNA from 1 species